AGAGUUUGAUCAUGGCUCAGAUUGAACGCUGGCGGCAGGCCUAACACAUGCAAGUCGAGCGGUAGCACAGAGAGCUUGCUCUCGGGUGACGAGCGGCGGACGGGUGAGUAAUGUCUGGGAAACUGCCUGAUGGAGGGGGAUAACUACUGGAAACGGUAGCUAAUACCGCAUAAUGUCGCAAGACCAAAGUGGGGGACCUUCGGGCCUCAUGCCAUCAGAUGUGCCCAGAUGGGAUUAGCUAGUAGGUGGGGUAACGGCUCACCUAGGCGACGAUCCCUAGCUGGUCUGAGAGGAUGACCAGCCACACUGGAACUGAGACACGGUCCAGACUCCUACGGGAGGCAGCAGUGGGGAAUAUUGCACAAUGGGCGCAAGCCUGAUGCAGCCAUGCCGCGUGUGUGAAGAAGGCCUUCGGGUUGUAAAGCACUUUCAGCGGGGAGGAAGGCGGUAAGGUUAAUAACCUUGUCGAUUGACGUUACCCGCAGAAGAAGCACCGGCUAACUCCGUGCCAGCAGCCGCGGUAAUACGGAGGGUGCAAGCGUUAAUCGGAAUUACUGGGCGUAAAGCGCACGCAGGCGGUCUGUCAAGUCGGAUGUGAAAUCCCCGGGCUCAACCUGGGAACUGCAUUCGAAACUGGCAGGCUAGAGUCUUGUAGAGGGGGGUAGAAUUCCAGGUGUAGCGGUGAAAUGCGUAGAGAUCUGGAGGAAUACCGGUGGCGAAGGCGGCCCCCUGGACAAAGACUGACGCUCAGGUGCGAAAGCGUGGGGAGCAAACAGGAUUAGAUACCCUGGUAGUCCACGCCGUAAACGAUGUCGAUUUGGAGGUUGUGCCCUUGAGGCGUGGCUUCCGGAGCUAACGCGUUAAAUCGACCGCCUGGGGAGUACGGCCGCAAGGUUAAAACUCAAAUGAAUUGACGGGGGCCCGCACAAGCGGUGGAGCAUGUGGUUUAAUUCGAUGCAACGCGAAGAACCUUACCUGGUCUUGACAUCCACAGAACUUAGCAGAGAUGCUUUGGUGCCUUCGGGAACUGUGAGACAGGUGCUGCAUGGCUGUCGUCAGCUCGUGUUGUGAAAUGUUGGGUUAAGUCCCGCAACGAGCGCAACCCUUAUCCUUUGUUGCCAGCGGUUAGGCCGGGAACUCAAAGGAGACUGCCAGUGAUAAACUGGAGGAAGGUGGGGAUGACGUCAAGUCAUCAUGGCCCUUACGACCAGGGCUACACACGUGCUACAAUGGCAUAUACAAAGAGAAGCGACCUCGCGAGAGCAAGCGGACCUCAUAAAGUAUGUCGUAGUCCGGAUUGGAGUCUGCAACUCGACUCCAUGAAGUCGGAAUCGCUAGUAAUCGUAGAUCAGAAUGCUACGGUGAAUACGUUCCCGGGCCUUGUACACACCGCCCGUCACACCAUGGGAGUGGGUUGCAAAAGAAGUAGGUAGCUUAACCUUCGGGAGGGCGCUUACCACUUUGUGAUUCAUGACUGGGGUGAAGUCGUAACAAGGUAACCGUAGGGGAACCUGCGGUUG
rnacentral:rRNA from 1 species